rnacentral:lncRNA from 1 species
GGGAGGGUCUACUGAUCGGUCCCUCGAAGGGGCUAAUCAUUUCAAAUGGGAAGUUCAGCCACUGUGAUUCUAGCAUCACGUGGGGAGAUGUUUAACAGCCUACGCCCCAUCCCAAUCCCAUGAGAACUGGUGGGGACCGGUGAGCUGCGAAAGCCCCAUCGGUGCUCUUGUGGGCGGGGCGGGGGGGGGGGGGGGGGGGGGGGGGGGCUCAGGUGCGUGUCCAGGGGAGGAUCUGCAGGCCCCCCACCAGGAAGACAAAGGGACCCACUCUCAAGCUCACUUCCUGACUUUCAAAGCCACUGUGACUACACCUCGGGAUCAAAGGGACCACAAGCCUCUGGGGCCGUGACUGCCAGCGGGCUCACGGCUCCUUGGACCCCAAAAGGCUCUGAAGUCCACUUGAGUUGAAAGGUAAUGACGGCUCCACCUGCUGAACGCUCGGAUGCUGAGGAGAAGCCGUAACCGUGGAUGUGGGCGCCUCUCCCGCUAUCACAACCAUGUCUAAGUAGGGUUGCACUUUCACAGCUUUCAGAGGAGGUUAGAACUCAGCUGCGGUUGGGGCUGAAUCCCUAUGCCUGACCGAGUGCCUACGGCGCUCAGACAUAAAAGCAGACCCAUGAUUUGCGCAGCGCUUGGAACUGAAAAGGCUGGGCUCCAGGACACACAGACUUGGUCCCCAGGCCUGAGGUGCCUGGUGGGAGACUGGGCACGUGGUGUCAUGGAUACUUGAGCGGAAGCCCCACGAGAUCCUGGUCAACUGCAGCCGUCCAGCGUAGGGACGUGGGUAUAUCAACCGGAUGCAGCCACGUGCGGAUUCUGGAUGAAGAUGCGCCUCUCCUCGGCCUGGACGUGAGCUGUCAAAAUCGUACUUUGCGGCUCUACGUGUCUACUGACGGGAGCUAGGAAUCAGGGGGAAUACUAAGGCCACUGAAAUUUCCAGCUGCCUACAUUUCUACGCUGAGUAAUUCUGCCCGCCCCAAAAGCAAAUAUUUAGAACGAGUCCAUGCUGACUCAUGAUGGAACCUUCAGGACAAAAUGAACACAUUGUUUCUGCUCCCUGUGCCCCAAGGGUGGGGACCAGGCAGUCCUGCCUUUAAAUAGUCACAGGUUGUGUCAGUGACCUUCGUGUCCCCUCCUGAUGACUCACAGGCCUAACCUCAGUUCUUAGUAGUGCCACCUUUCAAAAAUGUCUGUUUUCACUCCUGAGCACCUCUUCUCUCUAAAAGGGUACGGCAGCAAGUGUCCAUUUCCCUCUGCCUCAUAAAUGAAAACGAACGAUGUUGAACAAAACAAAAUAUGAGUGUGUAGCCCCGAAUGAUGCCGCCGCAGCCGCCUUCCGCGCCGAGUGCGCCCCUUCCAGUCAGUCGAGACGCCCAUGACAUUUGCUGUCACAGGAAUCCGGCCCGAAGCAGUUUCGUAAGUUUUCUAUCACUGGUUGGCGUGUGGGGGCCGAGACAGAAAUGGAGAAGGGAAAAAUACGGUGGAGAGAGCCUUGGACUGACUGGGGUAGGAUGAUGUCAGCAAAACAACGUGGAGCCAGAAGCAGGGAGCCCUCUGUCCCCGCCUGCCUGGGACUGAAGGGUGUCGGGAACCCCUGGCUCUCUGCCGACACCAGGGACAGGUUCGGAUAUGCAGUCCCCCUUCUACUCCACGAAAGGCCUUUGGGCAAACCAGCGUCUCUGGGCCGCGGCGUCUCGCUGGCGCAGAGGAUACUACAUCUGCUCUUGGGUUUCACGGAGCAGAGAUGCCGUGGGCAGAGAAUGGUCUGGACACCGUGAGCCUCCCGUGGCCUCAGCCUUCCUGCAUUUAGCUCCACCAAUCCCCGCAACAACCCCGCCGCGCGGCAAAGGGGAUCAUUCGCGCCCCUUCUCUGUGCAGAAUGAACUCCGCCCUCGUCAGGUCACCGCCAGGGGCCAAGCUCCGCCCUGACCCAGGCCCUGUCCACGCUCUCACCAGCUGUGCCAUCUGCACCAGUAAAUAAUACGGACUGUUCUCAUCAUUAUCUUCACAUAAAAAUACAGAAGACCGCCUGGCCGUCCUCAUCGCUGCGCCCCUCCUCACACAGAGCAGUGACCCCAAAGCACCAAACUUGCCAGGUCGUGUUACCCGCGGCCCCAGAAUCAGAGAGGGGCUGCCUUCUCGGGCCUGUGAAAGUCCCGCGGGGUCCGAGCAGUCCCCCACGCCAGGGCUGGGCUCGGGAGGAGGGGUCCCAAGGCAGAGGGCCUGCGUCUGCCCUCCGCCUCCCACCCAUGCCCACUGGCUCCUCCUUGUUCUUCGGCCCCGCGGCCGAUGGAGUCCCUGCUCAGGAAUCAGAUCCCAGCUGCAGGUGUGGGAUCUGAUUAACCCAGUGUGCUGGGCUGGGGCGCGAACCUGCCUCCCAGUGCUCCAGAGACGCCAGCACACCCUACUCGCCAGAGCGGGAACUCCCUCACCAUCACGCUUCAACAGGCUGCUGCCUCCACGCGGGAAAUACGCUGUGUCCCCUGCAGAGAGUGGCAUGCUCUGCAGCGACUUAUUUUGGGGUUUCAAGGAGCUAGGCUCUCGCUUCUUUCUCCAAAAUGAACGGAAGCCAGCCACUGCUUCCCCCACAUCGCUAUCACCAGGGGGCGCGGGGCUCGGCCGAGAACGUCUUCGGGUCCUUGCUCUCCCCCAGCAUUUGCUGUCUGCAGCGACCUGGACCCCUGCUCACCAGCCAGGCCCUCCCUGGAUGGCGUGUCGGACACUCUGCACUCACGUCACCCUGUGGCCGUGGUCGGCUCAGCUGUGCAGAGCAGUCGAUUACACAGAAUUCUGUGACGUUAAGAAGCCAAGGGCCCACGAUUCUCUUGGCAUUUUUUCACGCAGUUAAUGUGCCAGGAUUCUGCCAUUGUCUGGUGUGGGCUUCCCUAGAGCCCAAGCCAAACUCUGCUUGCCUUUCCCAUCACUGGCCAAUUUUUAAUCCA